rnacentral:rRNA from 1 species
AUUGAACGCUGGCGGCAUGCCUUACACAUGCAAGUCGAACGGUAGAGUAGCAAUACUCGAGAGUGGCGAACGGGUGAGUAAUGUAUCGGAACGUGCCCAAUUGUGGGGGAUAACGUAGAGAAAUUUACGCUAAUACCGCAUACGAUCUAAGGAUGAAAGCGGGGGAUCGCAAGACCUCGCGCAAUUGGAGCGGCUGAUAUCAGAUUAGGUUGUUGGUGAGGUAAAAGCUCACCAAGCCGACGAUCUGUAGCUGGUUUGAGAGAACGACCAGCCACACUGGGACUGAGACACGGCCCAGACUCCUACGGGAGGCAGCAGUGGGGAAUUUUGGACAAUGGGCGCAAGCCUGAUCCAGCGAUGCCGCGUGCAGGAAGAAGGUCUUCGGGUUGUAAACUGCUUUUGUCAGGGAAGAAAUCCUCUAGGUUAAUACCCUUGGGGGGAUGACGGUACCUGAAGAAUAAGCACCGGCUAACUACGUGCCAGCAGCCGCGGUAAU